UUUGUUUCGCUGAAGCGAUGGGGCUCUAGGCGGGGACUUCUUCACUUCAGAAGUGUUUCAUGAAGGAAAAAAAGAGAAACUCGUAAAGAAAAAAGAUUAAAUGAGGAGGAAAAGGAGGGUUUGGGGUGACAAAAGGCGGCGCCGGCCGGGGCUGCCCCUCACGGCCCCUCAGGCGCUGCCCCCCCCGCGCUCGCUUCACAAAAUGGCCGCCCGGCGGGGCCGCGGGAGCGGCUCUGAGGCGACAAAAUGGCGGCGGGCGAAGAGCUGGGGGAAGGACGGGCGAGGAGCGGCGUGGGCACGGCGGAGGGGCUCUGAUCCUGUGGGAAUCCCCUCCGGGCGGGCGGCGAAAGCGCUGCGGGUGAAACCUGACCUUCUUCUUAUUCCCCCUCCCUCCUGCCCUUUUCUCCUCGCCGCCUUUGCGAAAGGAUGUGAAAAUAGCCAGAAAUGCGCAUUUUCAUUCGGCCAUGGCGGAGCCCCCGGUUUUCUCACCUCAGCUCCCCCCCCGCUCCCCCAGUUAUACCCCUAAUAUUUUUUUUUUUUUUUCCCCUCACAGCUGAGGGGUUUUGGCUCUGAAUUGCGCUUUCUACAUGCCCUCCACCCCUUCCUUCAUGAUCACCACAGGCAACCCCAAGGUGGGUAGUUUAUGCCUAAUUCGUUGCUUUUCCACCGCUUUUCUCCUUUCUCCUUCGCAGGGGUUGAAGCCGCCAUCUCUCAGUCUCAUCGCGGCAUGGAAAAUCCCCAAAAAUGCUUACGGGAGAAAAAAAAAAAAAAAAAAAAAAAAAACCACAAAAAAAAAAAAAAAAAAAAAAAAAAAUCCCAAACGCAUAAGGAUUGAUAUAUCAUCGGAGCCGGAGUGGUACGGGAAGAAGCAAUCGCUGCUCGCCUGCUCCCCACGACAGCUCGCCUGCCAUUCACGUAAUUAAAAUCAUACAUUGGUGUGAUCAGACAUGGUAAUACCAUUAAAAAAAACCCUCAAAUACCCUAACAUCCACACACUCGUUGUUGGAGGCUGUAGCCAAGGUACCAUGCUUUUUUUUUUUUUGUUUGUUUGUUUUUAUUGUUUUAAAUAUUCUUUUAAUGUUGCCUUACCCUUUUUUCGUGCAUCAGAGUGUUGUUACAGGCUAUAACAUUGCAUCUUAUUUCUUAAAAGCUACGUACCAAAAAUACUGCUUUUUUCCCAUAGAAUUGCAGGUUUAGGCCCAUACAGAUGCUCUUUUACUUCUAUGGAUACAGAAAUACUUGUAUGUAUUUAUUAAAUGUAAAUAUAUAAAUACUGCUAUAUAUUUCAGAUUUUUAUAUAUAUGACCUUUUCCUAGGGACUACUUAAAAUAUAAAAUAAGCCCACAUAACUAAAAACUAUAAUUUAAUUAUAUAUAAUCACUAUAACUUUGGCCCAUAUAUAUAUUUGAUUAUAUAUAUAUAUAUUACCUUUGUUUUCCUCCAUUGGUUUCCUACUACAAUGUGUCCUAAAAGCAGGAGAAAAAAUGCCAUCAAAAAUAAAAAUAAAAGAAGAAAAAAAUUACAAAAACCAACCCAUCUCUUUUUUUUUACAGUCCAUGAUGGAAGUUUGUGCCUGAAUGUUUUAUUUGUUCCACAGAGAUGUAGAUUUUCCUUGGGAGAUUUGGGAAGGAUUAUUUUUUAAUGAAAAAGAGGAAAAAAUGCACCCAGAAAAAAACUCAAAACCAAAACAAACAAUGAAAAAGAAACAAAAAGGAAAAAAGCACGACAGAACCAAACCGCAUCCCUAAGUGACCUCCUGCAGCGCUGCCUCCACUGCGGUUCCAGCGCAGCCUUGCACUGGAGCACUAAAUGUGUGUCCCUGCGAGCCAGAGUGACCUUGCUGGGGGGACUGGGCCCACGGAGUGAUUCAGGUGCUCUGCUUUGAUUCCAAAUCCCUGCACCCCGUUUUUUUCCAGCACAUCCCCUCAUGCUGCAGUUACGGGUUGAAGCUGUUUCAUGCCUUUUGUCCUCUGUUUUUGUUUGUUUGUUUUUUUCCAAGGGAAACGUUGUAUUGUUUAUGUAACCCCUCUCACCAGCAGAUCCCUACAAACCACGCAGGGAUCCAGGAGUCACCCAGGCAGUGGGAUCUGGCCUUGCCAGAACCAUGAGGGACAAGACUCCAGCCACGUUUGCAUGUGUCACACACGGGCCACACAAACCCACAGUGUUCCUGUGGUUACUUCUGUCUGCAGAGCAUGAGUGGGUCCCAGGGCUUCCCCUUCCCACUGCUUGCUGGUUCACAAAGGCUGAUGCUUCUGGAAAAAGCUCUGCCUUGUGGCCUUUAAAAUAAAUAAAUAAAGUGGCGCUGCUGUGGAUUAGUCAUCCUUAUUUUUGAAGGAAGCUGUUUGCUAGCGCUGUCCGAAUCAGGCAUGUGCGUGUGAGAUGGGAACUCCAGAAGGCUGGUAACGUGCUCUGCUCGCUGCUCCUUGGAGCUCAGCCACCCGAGCUUCGUUGAUCUGCUCCUGGCAGGUGGAAAAUCUGACAGUCCAGCUUUCCAGACCUUUCCCUCCUUUUUUUUUUCAGUGCUGGAAUCUGCAUUGGCAGGUGUGCAAAUGUGGAGACUGUAACAGCAGCAAGUGAGGAUGGAUGAGCUGUUUUCUGGGGUCACAUCCAACUCCAGAGAAGAAACCCUGCCUGGAAGGCCAUAGUCCUGUCUAGUGAUGAAAACCCUGUGUUUGGGGAGAACCCUUGUGAGCUCCUGUCCCUGGCACUUUGGAUAAGAAUACCACGGGGAAGAGCGUCAGAAAACAAAUUACUAAAUACUGCAUUUCAAAAACGCGAAGGGAGUUUUCUGCACAGAGUCAUCUCCUCAGGAAGAUUUGGAGCACUAACCCUUGAAAAGAACCGAAAUCAAGACCUCUAUUAAUAUAAAUCCUGUGCUUUGUGUUGGUUAAGGCUCCAGAACUCAGCUCUGUGCUCCAAGUGUUUUCAGCACCUAAGCUGAUAGCCUCUGUCUUGGCAACAAAUGGGCCUAAAUAUCAAACAGCACCAAUUCUUUAUUGGAGAAAACGAGCAUAAAGCAGAAUGGUGUGUGUCCCAAAGGCCAAGGGCCAUCGGGUCAUGGAGAACAGCUCAAGUCCCCUUGUGCUCAGCUGUUUGGCCCCCAGGAAGGGCAGCACACAGGGCAGUGCAGCCGUGCCUCGCCCCUGGGUGCUCAUGAUGCUGUUGCUCGUGGCAGGACACUGGGCUGGCACAAUGAGUGUCUGUUCUGCAGACACAAGGAUGGUGUUGGUCCUUCGUCACAGCCCCUCUGGCCUGCUGAGGGGAGGGUUAUACCUGCUCUGCUCUCCAGACUGAGACUGUGUUCUUUAGAAUCUUCAGCUGAGCUGGGAGAUCUGGUUACAGCAGCAUUGCUGGUGCGGUUGCAACUAGGAACAGCUUCCCUGCAAAGCAUUUGAAGAGUGUCACCAUGGUCCAGAGCUUUGUUUUGCGUCACCAGCCGAGCUUUGUGCUCCUCUUCCAGCUGGCUGUUGUGUAAAUGGAACCCUCCUGGCACUUGUCUGAACCCUCUCCUGUCAACAGAGUCAAUGGCUUUGUUUGUGACAGCUCCCAGCCCCUGCAUGUCCUGUGAGAUGGCCGGGUGACAGCAGUGACUCCAUCGGUGUGUGAGAUUCCCUGGAAGGAGCUGGGAGCUGGUGUGGUUUCCUUGUGUCCCUUGGAGAUGCCACCCCAGCAGGAGAAAGAACAGCUGGGAUUGCAGUUACAGCAAAUACACUCCAUCAGAGAGGGAGAAUUUGUCAUGGAAAAGUUGUUUGAUUUUUUGGCAGUUUUGGUUUGGGUUUUUCCUCUCUGAAAUGGAGAGCCCCUUAAAGGUAGAGACAUGUACAAACUGCUCCUUGGGCUUCCCACCAGGUAAAAUGGAAAGCUGAACCCAGUUCCACACUGGAAACGCCGGUGGAGCGUGUUGGCAGCGCGUUUUCUUUGCGCACGUGGCUCCAUCACACGUUUUGAAUAAUAGAUGGUUUGCGUGCAAGGAGUUGUUGGGGUUUUUAAUUAAUCAGUAGAUAGAUCCCAGUUUGGCAGAGCCCAUCAUCGCUGAGGAAACUGAGGCACGGGGCUGCCAAAGGAUGGGCUUGCAGCCGCUGGAGUCGGGGAUAAGGUUCGGGGCCACCACGGAUCGAGUCCACGUGCGUCAGAGAUCUGAUUAAAUCAGGAGAUUUGCAUGUUUGUUAAGGAACUACUUCUUGGUGACUUUGACCAGUAGCGAGGUGGACUUGCUGCUGGAAGGUUACGGUGUCCGGCCAGACUGGGUGGCAGAAGGCAGCUCUGACAAAUAAAACAUGGGUUUGAUCAAUACCAAAACGUCA